AAUAUUUAUUUCCAGUCAAUGAAUUAUCUAUGCACCACGGGCCAAAGAUAAUCAUUUGUAUCACCAGUGGUCAUGAUCAUGCCAAACACCUGUCCAUCUUUGUAUUACGGGCCAAAGAUAUCGAUCAACAGUUCAUCUUUACACUACGGACCAAAGAUAUUCACUAAUCAACAGUUCAUCUUUGCACUACAGGCCAAAGAUAACUUUCAACAUGAUUUAAGUCUGAGAAUUAUGAUAAUGAUAAUACGAAUAAAUCAAAUGAGACCAUAACAUGGAUUCAAU
rnacentral:lncRNA from 1 species